UAACACAUGCAAGUCGAACGGUAUGAUGCUUUCGGGCAUCAGAGAGUGGCGCACGGGUGAGUAACGCGUGGGAACCUGCCCCUGGGUACGGGACAACGCCUGGAAACGGGCGCUAAUACCGUAUACGUCCUUCGGGAGAAAGAUUUAUCGCCCUGGGAGGGGCCCGCGUCCGAUUAGCUUGUUGGUGGGGUAAUGGCCUACCAAGGCGACGAUCGGUAGCUGGUCUGAGAGGAUGAUCAGCCACACUGGGACUGAGACACGGCCCAGACUCCUGCGGGAGGCAGCAGUGGGGAAUAUUGGACAAUGGGGGCAACCCUGAUCCAGCAAUGCCGCGUGUGAUGAAGGCCUUAGGGUUGUAAAGCACUUUCACUGGUGAAGAUGAUGACGGUAUCCAGAGAAGAAGCCCCGGCUAACUCCGUGCCAGCAGCCGCGGUAAUACGGAGGGGGCAAGCGUUGUUCGGAAUUACUGGGCGUAAAGGGCGUGCAGGCUGUGAUUUAAGUUGGGCGUGAAAGCCCGGGGCUCAANCCCGGAAUUGCGCUUGAUACUGGAUCACUUGA
rnacentral:rRNA from 1 species